rnacentral:misc_RNA from 1 species
GUAGGUGAACCUGCGGAAGGAUCAUUGCAAGAAGGGGAUUAUUGUCUGGAUUUAUCCGGGGAAUAAUCUUAAAUUAGGUCGUCUGCGAGGGAAAGGUGUAUCGUCAUGGUCACUGCUCGCCCGCAGACAACAGCAGCGCGUGUGUGUGGCAGUCGAAAUACCGAAUUAUAUACAACUUUUAACAAUGGAUCUCUUGGCUCUU